UACCAGCACCCCGAGUGGUCGGGACGAUUAUUGGGCCUAAAGCAUCCGUAGCCGGUUCUACAAGUCUUCCGUUAAAUCCACCUGCUUAACAGAUGGGCUGCGGAGGAUACUAUAGAGCUAGGAGGCGGGAGAGGCAAGCGGUACUUAGUGGGUAGGGGUAAAAUCCGUUGAUCCAUUGAAGACCACCAGUGGCGAAGGCGGCUUGCCAGAACGCACUCGACGGUGAGGGAUGGAAAGCUGGGGGAGCAAAC
rnacentral:rRNA from 1 species